GCGGAUGUAGCUCAGUUGGCUAGAGCGUCUGCUUGCCAUGCAGAAGGUCGUGGGUUCGAGUCCCAUCAUCCGCU
rfam:Actinobacteria bacterium 13_1_20CM_4_69_9 13_1_20cm_4_scaffold_1382, whole genome shotgun sequence.